UCCUUUUGCCCCCUUCGCUUUCACAUUUCCAACCAGAGCUGAACUUUGACCUCCGCCUCGGGUUACAUGUACUGUCCGGACCUGUUAGAGGCCCUCCGCCGGGGAGCGCUCAACUUUCAGGCCAGACACGAAGAACAUCUCCGGCAACAAGAUUGAAAAAGUCCCGUUAGAAAAGCUCAAAAUUGCCACAAAAAAAAUAAAAAAGAGAAAAAAGUCACAGGGCAGCCCGGUGUGAUGUCGGUGCCGGGGGGUUAUUGCGAGGAAAGAGCGGCCGGUGGUGAUGGCUGUAGUGGCGGACGGUGCAAAUCUCCAAAACGUCCCGAAACUGCAUUUCAAACCGCCGGAGAUCUGCGGCGAUUGGCGGAACUCAGCAACAUGUCUAUCCGUCCUGCGGCGCGCUGUGGCCGGCGUGCGGCGGUACGGCUCCUCGGUGCUCGGGACUGGAGGGGCGCGGUGCAGCAGUCGCGUCUCCCGGAAAAAAUGAGAACUGACCAGGAAGAAAGAAAGGGGCAACACGGGAUCCCUGAGCUGCCAGACGGCCGCCUCGCCUCUAGAACAACCGACAGCUGCUUUCCGUUAAUUUAUCUCCAACAGGAGGAGACGGUAAAGAAGAGAGGGGGGGGGGAGAGAGAGAGAGAGAGAGUCAGUCGGUAUGUGUUGUCCCGGGCGCAGAGCGGAGCGCCACCUCCUCGCCGCUCCUCAUGCCUGUGUGCUGCUCCGAGCUCCGGGACAUCCACUCGCUGCUCCGCCGCCCGGACUGCGUCGCGGUCUUCCAGUCCUCCAGGAGUGGAGCCGCGGGUCGUCCGAGGUUAAUGAACAGAAGCUUUUAUGUUAAUAGGAGGACGGCUGGCGUGAUUUAACAAGACAAUCUGCAGAUUUACUUUUUCACUCAAACACAUCCGAGGCCGCGGGCUCCAUGGUUAUUAGCCGGCUAAACAACGAAGGUCAGGACAAAGAGAAGGUAAUUAGAUUGCCACAAUUAAAUUGGGUUUUCAAUAUGAUCAAUAAUCUUGAUGUGUGAUCAUGGAUUACUCGCUCUCGGGGGUGGGAGCCUUACUGCAGAGUUGAGUCGCACGAAGAAGAAUUGUUAUCAGUUUCACAUAGCACUCAACAUUUAAAUCAGUUUUUUUUAUUUCUCUCAGAUCUGUAUUUGUAGUGACAGUGUGAACCGCCAAUAUGUGACCCUUUGUGUGUUACCUUUGUGUGUGCUUCUGCAUAAGUAUAGAAUUGUGUCUGUGUGUGUGUCCGUGCAGAUUUGAGCUGAUCGUGUUUGUGUUGGUUAAAUUAAUACAUGACGCACAUGUCUGAGAUCAGGAACCCGGAUCAGGUGUUUCUGCAAACCAGGAUUGUCCAAGAGAACUGGACUACCGCACUAAUGUCCUCGUAAACACAGCGAUGAUGAUGUAACCUCAUUUUAAAGAACGUCAGAAAAAAUAAACAGGCAUUUUGUAAUACAUCAUUUUUAAAUGUUUGUGUUUUCAUAUGUUUUUACUUUCUACUAUCAUUAUACAUUUCUGUAUAAUGUGUUUUGUUUGAUUAAAUAAGAACAUUUAAAUAUAAAUAUGUCAGUAAAGAAGCCAGAGGCGCCAUCUAGAGUCGACAGACUGACACUACAACACAGUCUCAUGGGCGGCGGCAGGAAGCCCUGCUGUGUGCAUGAACACAUUCUGCACUGAAUUAAGAAACGUCCAGCUAAUCAUCAACAUCUGAGUAUAUGAACGGGACUGUAAAUACAAAAUUAAAUUAUAAUGAAAAUACAUGUAAAAGAAUGAAAAUAAACAAACAAAUGAGCAACAUGAA